UUAGAAUACGGAGCGGCAAACGGGUGAGUAACACAUUAGUAAUCUACCUCUGAGACGGGAAUAGCCCAUUGAAAAAUGGAUUAAUGCCCGAUAGUCAUGGAGAGUCAUAUGACAUUUCCAUGUAAAACCCUUCGGGGGCUUAGAGAGGAGCUUAUGUCUGAUUAGCUUGUUGGUGGGGUAAAAGCCUACCAAGGCUCUGAUCAGUAGCAGGCGUGAGAGCGUGACCUGCCUCACUGGGACUGAGACACUGCCCAGACUCC
rnacentral:rRNA from 1 species